CGCUUCUCUCUGCCUCCUCUCGACCUGCCUGCCUGCGGAAAUCUCCUGAAUCAUUUCUAGCUGGAUCUCAGCGGCGCUGGCACACCAGGGCCCCCGCCGGCUCUGGCUCUCGCUCUCCCUCCCCGUCCCUCCCUCCCCGGCCUCCCCGCUCCUCCUCCCUCCCUCCCUCGGCCCGGUUUGUAAUCUGAUACAGUAGACUGCAGUUGUCCGCGCCCCUGCCGCCCCGGGCUUGGCACGGCUCGCUUCUAAGUUUAGAGAUGACCCGUCAUACCUGACGCCUGCGGGUCCAGAAGACGAAGUUGAUCAGAUCCAGCCUUUGGAGGAUCCACUUGGGAAUUUCCCACUCUGUGUCCUGAGACUAGGAGCCUAGUGGGGACUUUGUGGACUCCCAAGCUCUUCUGGAAACUGCUCCCAGAGGAUUCAUAAAAUCGAGCAAGAACUUGGCCUUCCU